AGGAAAGUGAACAUAUUCAUCACCCUCACGGGGAAGUGAGUGAGAACCUACAAAAAGGGAUAGAGGGUUGUCUAAUCUCUUUUAUUUCCACCCUGGGACAGCAAAACUGAGAGGCAUGAUUCUCUCCUCUACCAGCAGUUUCUAAAAAUCCAAGCACACUUUAAAGCAAGAAGGAUUUUUAACAAGAAAAUUUGCAGACACGUACUGAAUACUACCAGCAAUCGUAACACAAUGGUAAGUAUUUGUGUGAAACAAAUAAACAAUAAAAAUAACCUUGCAUUUCUUGAUGCCUUCUUCAUGUCUCUAAGUAUAGGGUUUGUUUCAUUAUAAAAUAUCUUCUUAUGAGGAAAUGCCUUAGUGUCUAAGUGUCCAAUCACAAAUUCAGAAUUCAAAAGAAAGAACACGGUCUGUUCUCGGG
rnacentral:lncRNA from 1 species